rnacentral:rRNA from 1 species
UACGAAGGGUGCAAGCGUUACUCGGAAUUACUGGGCGUAAAGGGUGCGUAGGUGGUUUGUUAAGUCUGCUGUGAAAUCCCCGGGCUCAACCUGGGAAUGGCAGUGGAUACUGGCAAGCUAGAGUGCGGUAGAGGGUAGUGGAAUUCCCGGUGUAGCAGUGAAAUGCGUAGAGAUCGGGAGGAACACCAGUGGCGAAGGCGGCUACCUGGACCAGCACUGACACUGAAGCACGAAAGCGUGGGGAG